CUAUACCCCGCGGCGCUAUUUGUGGCAGCCACGCGCUGCCCUAUAUUUAGCACUGCCCCCCCGGCACUGCGCCCCGCCCUAUGGGGUCCCUAUGGGGUCCCGGUGUGACCCUAUGGGGUCCUUAUGGGGUCCUUAUGGGGUCCUUAUGGGGUCCUUAUGGGGUCCCAGUGUCACCCUAUGGGGUCCCUAUGGGGUCCCUAUGGGGUCCCGGUGUCACCCUAUGGGGUCCCUAUGGGGUCCCUAUGGCGUCCCUAUGGCGUCCCUAUGGGGUUCCUAUGGCGUCCCUAUGGGGUCCCAGUGUCACCCUAUGGGGUCCCUAUGGGGUCCCUAUGGGGUCCUGGCGUCACCCUAUAGGUGUCUCUAUGGGGUCCCUAUGGGGUCCCAGUGUCCCCCUAUGGGGUCUUUACGGGGUCCCGCUGUCACCCUAUGGGUGUUCCCCUAUGGGGUCCCUAUGGGGUCCCUAUGGGGUGCCGCCGUCCCCCUUUGGGUCUCUAUGGGGUCCCUGCGUCACCCUGUGACACCACAGAACCCUAUAGGACCCCACAGGACCCACAGAACCCCAUAGAACCCUAUAGGACCCCACAGGACCCACAGAACCCUAUAGAACCCACAGAACCCCAUAAAACCCUAUAGGACCCCACAGGACCCACAGAACCUCAUAGAACCCUACAGAACCCUACAGAACCCUAUAGGACCCCACAGAACCCACAGAACCCCAUAGAACCCCAUAGGACCCCACAGAACCCACAGAACCCUGUAGAACCCACAGAACCCCAUAAAACCCUAUAGGACCCCACAGGACCCACAGGACCCCAUAGAACCCUACAGAACCCCACAGAACCCUAUAGGACCCCACAGAACCCACAGAACCCUAUAGAACCCCAUAGGACCCCACAGGACCCACAGAACCCCAUAAAACCCUAUAGGACCCCACCGGACCCACAGAACCCCAUAGGACCCACAGAACCCCACAGAACCCUAUAGGACCCCACAGAACCCACAGAACCCCAUAGAACCCUAUAGGACCCUAUAGGACCCACAGGACCCCACAGAACCCCAUAGAACCCUAUAGGACCCUAUAGGACCCACAGGACCCACACAGCCCCACAGAACCCCAUUGGAUCCCACAGUCCUAUAGGGACCCCACAGGACACACAAACCCCAUAGAACCCCCCCAGGACCCACAGAACCCCAUAGAACCCUAUAGGACCCCACAGGACCCACAGAACCCCACAGACCCCAUAGGAACCCACAAACCCCAUAGGACCCCCCACAGGACCCACAGAACCCCACAGACCCCAUAGACCCCCACAGACCCCACAGGACCCCAUAGGACACCACAGCCCCCACAUCCCUAUGGGGCCCACAGACACGGGUGGGACCCACAGACCCCACAGACCCCAUAGGAUCCCACAGACCCCAUAGGAUCCCACAGCCCACACAGCCCCACAGAGCCCACAGACCCCACAGACCCCAUAGGACCCCACAGACCCCUCAGGACCCCAUAGGACCCCACAGAACCCACAGCCCUAUGGGGCCCACAGACACGGGUGGGACCCACAGACCCCACAGACCCCAUAGGACCCCACAGCCCCCACAUCCCUAUGGGGCCCACAGACACGGGUGGGACCCACAGACCCCACAGACCCCAUAGGAUCCCACAGACCCCAUAGGAUCCCACAGCCCACACAGCCCCACAGAGCCCACAGAGCCCACAGACCCCAUAGGACCCCACAGAUCCCAUAGGACACCACAGACCCCACAUCCCUAUGGGGCCCACAGACACGGGUGGGACCCACAGACCCCACAGACCCCCAUAGGACCCCACAGACCCCAUAGGAUCCUACAGCCCACACAGCCCCACAGAGCCCACAGACCCCACAGACCCCAUAGGACCCCACAGACCCCAUAGGACCCCACAGACCCCACAUCCCUAUGGGGCCCACAGACACGGGUGGGACCCACAGCCCCCACAGACCCCAUAGGACCCCACAGCCCCCAUAGGACCCCACGGCCCUAUAGGACCC
rnacentral:lncRNA from 1 species